rnacentral:lncRNA from 1 species
UCCUCCAUGCCUACACUCAGGGCUGGAUAAAAGUGCUUUCUGCAUCUGAAAUUCAGUUUCUGGGGCUGAGCAGAGGUGCCUGGCUCCUGGAGUGCAUCCAGAUCUGGAGUGAAGGGACUGGAGAGGGGCAUUGCUGAGGGAUUAGUGCCUGCCUUGGAAAUGAUCCAGCCAAGGCUGGGCCAUCCAGAGAAAUGAUCCCCCUGCAGGACUCCUGAUAGGCAAAAGGGGCAGGGGCUUUAUGGGGCAAAGGGGCUUUAUGGGGCACAAGGGGCUUUAUGGGGUACAAUGGGGUUUAUGGGGCACAAGGGGCUUUAUGGGGCACAAGGGGAUUUAUGGGGUACAGUGGGGUUUAUGGGAUACAAUGGGGUUUAUGGGGCAAAGGGGCUUUAUGGGGCACAAGGGGAUUUAUGGGGUACAAUGGGGUUUAUGGGGUACAAUGGGGUUUAUGGGGCACAAGGGGCUUUAUGGGGCACAAGGGGAUUUAUGGGGUACAAUGGGGUUUAUGGGGUACAAUGGGGUUUAUGGGGCACAAGGGGCUUUAUGGGGCACAAGGGGAUUUAUGGGGUACAAUGGGGUUUAUGGGGUACAAUGGGGUUUAUGGGGCACAAGGGGCUUUAUGGGGCACAAGGGGAUUUAUGGGGUACAAUGGGGUUUAUGGGGUACAAUGGGGUUUAUGGGGCACAAGGGGCUUUAUGGGGCACAAGGGGAUUUAUGGGGUACAAUGGGGUUUAUGGGGUACAAUGGGGUUUAUGGGGGCACAAGGGGCUUUAUGGGGCACAAGGGGAUUUAUGGGGUACAAUGGGGUUUAUGGGCCCCCCCCCCCCCCCCCCCCCCCCCCCCCCCCCCCCCCCCCCCCCCCCCCCCCCCCCCCCCCCCCCCCCCCCCCCCCCCCCCCCCCCCCCCCCCCCCCCCCCCCCCCCCCCCCCCCCAUGGGGCACAAUGGGGUUUAUGGGGCACAAUGGGGUUUAUGGGGCACAAGGGGAUUUAUGGGGGCACAAGCUGCCUGCUGAGACAAUCACAGAAAGGGAAAAGGACUUUGUUCCUGCUGCAAAACCUUGUGUAUUUUGGGGGGAAAGCAAUGGGGGGACAAGUCCAGAGCCCAGGCCUCUCUUUCACUGGACCCCUCUCCAUUCUGACCAUGAUUCCUCUCUGCCACCAGUACAGUCCAAAUAUGAAUUUAUUUAUUGCAGUGUCCUAGCUACAGACAACAGAGGAAAGUGCUCCUACUCCAGAGCAGCCACCAGCUGAGUCACUC